CCUGGUGUCUCUAGCGCAAUGGAACCACACCGAUUCCAUCCCGAACUCGGAGGUGAAACGUUGCUGCGGCGAAGAUACUUUGGGGGUCACCCCACGGGACAAUAGCUCGAUGCCAGGU
rfam:Microcoleus sp. PCC 7113, complete genome.